rnacentral:rRNA from 1 species
GUGGGGAAUAUUGGACAAUGGGCGAAAGCCUGAUCCAGCCAUGCCGCGUGUGUGAAGAAGGUCUUCGGAUUGUAAAGCACUUUAAGUUGGGAGGAAGGGCAGUAAGUUAAUACCUUGCUGUUUUGACGUUACCGACAGAAUAAGCACCGGCUAACUUCGUGCCAGCAGCCGCGGUAAUACGAAGGGUGCAAGCGUUAAUCGGAAUUACUGGGCGUAAAGCGCGCGUAGGUGGUUUUGUAAGUUGGAGGUGAAAUCCCCGGGCUCAACCUGGGAACUGCCUCCAAAACUGCAUGACAAGAGUACGGUAGAGGGUAGUGGAAUUUCCUGUGUAGCGGUGAAAUGCGUAGAUAUAGGAAGGAACACCAGUGGCGAAGGCGACUACCUGGACUGAUACUGACACUGAGGUGCGAAAGCGUGGGGAGCAAACAGGAUUAGAAACCCGAGUAGUCC